rnacentral:siRNA from 1 species
UGCAUAUGAGCCUACCGGUGACA